UACGUAGGGUGCGAGCGUUGUCCGGAAUUAUUGGGCGUAAAGAGCUCGUAGGCGGUGUGUCACGUCGGCCGUGAAAACCUGCAGCUUAACUGUGGGCGUGCGGUCGAUACGGGCAUGACUGGAGUUCGGUAGGGGAGACUGGAAUUCCUGGUGUAGCGGUGAAAUGCGCAGAUAUCAGGAGGAACACCGGUGGCGAAGGCGGGUCUCUGGGCCGAUACUGACGCUGAGGAGCGAAAGCGUGGGGGAGCGAACAGGA
rnacentral:rRNA from 1 species